rnacentral:rRNA from 1 species
AGUCAUAUGCUUGUCUCAAAGAUUAAGCCAUGCAUGUCUAAGUACAGGCCGAUCUACGGCGAGACCGCGGACGGCUCAUUAAAUCAGAUAUAAUUCAUUGGAUCUGUAUACCAUUUACUUGGAUAACUGUGGUAAUUCUAGAGCUAAUACAUGCCUUUAGAGUCUCUGACAGCAAUGGAAGAGCGCUUUUAUUAGUCCAAAACCUUUCUUUGGUCCUUCGGGGCCAUGAAAACCUUUUGUUGAAACUAGAUAACCAGUGCUGAGCGCACGUUCUUUAGAAACGGCGCCGCCUCCUGCAAGUGUCUGCCUUAUCAGCUUUAGUUUGUAGUUCAAACGCCUACAGUGGCUAUAACGGGUAACGGAGAAUCAGGGUUCGAUUCCGGAGAGGGAGCCUGAGAAACGGCUACCACAUCUAAGGAAGGCAGCAGGCGCGCAAAUUACCCACUCCCGGCACGGGGAGGUAGUGACGAAAAAUACUGUUGCGAGACUCCAUCGAGGCUUCGCAAUUGGAAUGAGUAGACUUUAAAUCCUUUUACCAGGACCCAGUGGAGGGCAAGUCUGGUGCCAGCCGCCGCGGUAAUUCCAGCUCCACUAGCGUAUAUUAAAGUUGUUGCGGUUAAAACGCUCGUAGUUGGGCCUCUGCUCUGGACUGUUGGUUCACCUUAGGCGGUGCCGACUGUACAGCUUUAGAGCUAUUUUCCCCGCCGGCUUGCCCGGGGUGCUCUUCACCGAGUGUCCCUCGUGGCCGGCAAGUUUACUUUGACAAAAUUAGAGUGCUCAGAGCAGGCUAACUUAACAGCCUGAAUGAUGGUGCAUGGAAUGAUGGAAUAGGACCUCGGUUCUAUUUUGUUGGUUUUUCUGAACCCGAGGUAAUGAUUAACAGAGGCAAGCGGGGGUAUCCGUACUGCGCCGAUAGAGGUGAAAUUCUUAGACCGUCGCAUGACGAGCCAGAGCGAAAGCAUUUGCCAAGGAUGCCUUCAUUAAUCAAGAACGAAAGUUAGAGGUUCGAAGGCGAUCAGAUACCGCCCUAGUUCUAACCAUAAACUAUGCUAACUAGCGAUCCGCCGCAGUUAUUCCCAUGGCCCGGCGGGCAGCUUCCGGGAAACCAAAGUCUUUGAGUUCCGGGGGAAGUAUGGUUGCAAAGCUGAAACUUAAAGGAAUUGACGGAAGGGCACCACCAGGAGUGGAGCCUGCGGCUCAAUUUGACUCAACACGGGGAAUCUUACCAGGCCCAGACACUGGAAGGAUUGACAGAUUGAAAGCUCUUUCUUGAUUCGGUGGUUGGUGGUGCAUGGCCGUUCUUAGUUGGUGGAGUGAUUUGUCUGGUUAAUUCCGAUAACGAACGAGACUCUAGCCUAUUAACUAGUCGAUGGAUGAUUAUAAUCAUAAUACAUCUCCAAAAAAGGAGGGAUUGUGUGUUGCUCUUUGUAGUAUUACUACUACCUGGGGUUUCAUAUGUCUCUUUUAUAAAAAAUGGUGACGUCCAGUGUCGCAGCUUCUUCUUAGAGGGAUAAGCGGCAGCAAAAAAAAUACUAGCCGCACGAGAGAUUGAGCCAUAACAGGUCUGUGAUGCCCCUAGAUGUUCUGGGCCGCACGCGCGCUACAAUGAAGAGUUCAACAAGCUCUCCCUGCUCCGACAGGAGUGGGUAACCUCUUUAAAUCUGUCCUUAAAGGGGAUUGGGGCUUGAAAAUAUGUCCCAUGAACGAGGAAUUCCCAGUAGGCGCAAUUCACCAGAUUGCACCGAUUUAGUCCCUGCCCUUUGUACACACCGCCCGUCGCUACUACCGAUUGAAUGGUCUAGUGAGGACAUCGGACUGGCGCUCUUGGAGAGGUCUCUCAAUUUCGCUAGUAUCCUUUCUCUUUUGGGAGGAGGAGAAGAAGUUGGGAGCAACCGCCUUGGUGUCGACGGAAAGAUGUCCGAGCUGGGUCAUUUAGAGGAAGUAAAAGUCGUAACAAGGUUUCCGUAGGUGAACCUGC